rnacentral:rRNA from 1 species
UGGGGAAUAUUGCGCAAUGGGCGAAAGCCUGACGCAGCAACGCCGCGUGCGGGAUGAAGGCCUUCGGGUUGUAAACCGCUUUCAGUGGGGACGAAUUCAGACGGUACCCACAGAAGAAGCCCCGGCCAACUACGUGCCAGCAGCCGCGGUAACACGUAGGGGGCGAGCGUUGUCCGGAUUUAUUGGGCGUAAAGAGCUCGUAGGCGGCUAAGUAAGUGAGGUGUGAAAACUCCAGGCUCAACCUGGAGACGCCACCUCAUACUGCUUUGGCUAGAGUCCGGUAGGGGAGCAUGGAAUUCCUGGUGUAGCGGUGAAAUGCGCAGAUAUCAGGAGGAACACCAGUGGCGAAGGCGGUGCUCUGGGCCGGUACUGACGCUGAGGAGCGAAAGCGUGGGGAGCAAACAGG